rnacentral:rRNA from 1 species
GACGAACGCUGGCGGCGUGCUUUACACAUGCAAGUCGAACGGUGAAGGUGGAGCUUGCUCCGCCGGAUCAGUGGCGAACGGGUGAGUAACACGUGGGCAACCUGCCCCUCACUUUGGGAUAACUACUCGACAGAGUAGCUAAUACCGGAUAUGAAGUCUGUAGGCAUCUAUGGAUUUGGAAAGUUUUUCGGUUAGGGAUGGGCCCGCGGCCUAUAAGCUUGUUGGUGAGGUAGUGGCCUACCAAGGCGACGCCGGGUAGCCGGCCUGAGAGGGCGACCGGCCACACUGGGACUGAGACACGGCCCAGACUGCUGCGGGAGGCAGGAGUGGGGAAUAUUGCGCAACGGGCGAAAGCCUGACGCAGCAACGCCGCGUGCGGGAUGAAGGCCUUCGGGUUGUAAACCGCUUUCAGCAGGGAAGAAGCGAAAGUGACGGUACCUGCAGAAGAAGCACCGGCUAACUACGUGCCAGCAGCCGCUGUAA